CUUCAGGACACCAGGACAAUCCCAGGCCCUCUCUUCCAUCCCGUGAACCUGAAGAGAGGACAGCACGGGGAAGCGCUGCCCUGUUUUGCGACAAGGUGAGGAACCCUUGCUGGAGCAUGGGGUCCCUUCGACUUGCACAGGGGGACCCUUCUCCUCGCUAAGGAUCGAUGCUAUAAUCAGAGGGAAAAGGGUUCAAAUCUUCAGCAGACCACAUGGUAAGUGGAUUUGCAUGUGCUCAAUAAAGGGAGUUACUGUGACAAGCAACAUGCAGGAGUCUACCCAAGUGACUGUGGAUGUCUCAGCUUUGCUCCCUCCUCCCUUUUCCAGGUUCCCUACUGAUCCUUUGAAUUUUUCCCUGUGGUAGGGAAGAAAUGGGGUGAUUUCCAUCCUUAUUACAGGUUUCUGAAGAAUGGUGCCAUCACUGCCAUGAUGCUUCUGUGACUUGACUUCCAAUUACACUAAAUCCCAUGAACACCUCUUCUGGAAGGGAGGAGCGGAUCAUGUCCUGCAAACAGCAGCCACCAGACCUGGAUGAGCCACAUUCUCUCUGAAGCACUUUGUGCUGAUCCAGUGGGCCACUCUUUGAGGCAGACCAUCACCAUCUCACGUGGUGGAGCAAAGGGACAGAGACAUAUCACCUCCACCACCCUGGUACCUUACGUUGAACACCAGGAACACUGGUAAAAGACAAAACACAUCAGCAAAAUGAUAAAGGGCAAGCUGAAGCUGCCGUGGGGAAGGACCCUGUACAGGUCUGUGGUGGCUCUGUGCACAGCACAGCACAACACACCUCACACCGGUGUGCGUGGGAAUCCAGAGCUCUCUGACCACAUUUCUUGGACCCAGUCCCUCAUCUUCCUCACCACAGGGCGAUGCUCCGCGGGGUAACCCCUCUGCUCCUGGCACACGGUGAAGGGGCCAUGCCUGGCCCUCGGGGGAGCCGUGCGUGCGGGCAGACACAUCUGGCGCAUGUGACACCACUUAAAAUAGCCAGACAUACCCGAAGGGCUGCAUCGGCCCCGAGGGCCUCCUGUUAAACUGUAACAGGAGUCCUGCGUACUUACACAGGUGCCAGUAUACAAAAUGCUGAUCUUUGAACAAGCCUCUAGUUAAAAGUAAAUCUGAUCUUUUGAA